rnacentral:rRNA from 1 species
UGCGUAGGCGGAUUAAUAAGUCAGUGGUGAAAUCUUUCGGCUCAACCGAGAAACUGCCAUUGAUACUGUUAAUCUUGAGUUCGGUUGAGGUAGGCGGAAUGUGUAAUGUAGCGGUGAAAUGCUUAGAUAUUACACAGAACACCAAUUGCGUAGGCAGCUUACUAGACCGACACUGACGCUGAGGCACGAAAGCGUGGGGAGCGAACAGGAUUAGAUACCCUGGUAAUCC